rnacentral:rRNA from 1 species
GAUGAACGCUAGCGGCAGGCCUAACACAUGCAAGUCGAGGGGUAACAUAGAAAAGCUUGCUUUUCUGAUGACGACCGGCGCACGGGUGCGUAACGCGUAUACAACCUACCUUUUAGCGGGGAAUAGCCCAGGGAAACUUGGAUUAAUGCCCCAUAGUAUAUAGACUUCUCCUGAAGUUUAUAUUAAACAUUUAUGGCUAUUAGAUGGGUAUGCGUCCUAUUAGUUAGUUGGUAAGGUAACGGCUUACCAAGGCAGCGAUAGGUAGGGGUCCUGAGAGGGAGAUCCCCACACUGGUACUGAGACACGGACCAGACUCCCACGGGAGGCAGCAGUGAGGAAUAUUGGACAAUGGGCGAGAGCCUGAUCCAGCCAUGCCGCGUGCAGGAAGACUGCCCUAUGGGUUGUAAACUGCUUUUACAGAGGAAGAACCACCCCCACGUGUGGGGGUUUGACGGUACUCUGCGAAUAAGGAUCGGCUAACUCCGUG